ACACGGCACUAGGCCCUGUGCGGCCAGAGUCACCCCGGAAAGGUGGGGGCUCACAGCCCCGGCCUGGUCGGCCGCACAGUCCAUCCAUUCUUACUUGAGCCUUCUCUGCUUCCAGAGGCUGCCCUGGGCGCCUGACCCCAGAGCCAUCAUCUCUGGCUCCCCAACCGGUCCCCCACAGCCCGGGGCAGGCACCAGCCUGGGGGAGGGUCUCCAUGCUCAGUUCCCUCCCCUCUGGUUUGGAGAGACACUGCCUGCCCACGUGCAGUGAGCGGAAUCUGAGACCCUGCCAGGGGCCCCAUGACACGCCCCCGAUGCACAGAGCAUGCGAUCCCAGAGGCCACCCUGGGCUCUUCCAGAAAGCAGUAGGCCCCAGGAUAUUCCCCACCCAGGGUGACUGGUGGCAACGCCGUGCCUAUCCCUGCUGUCCCCGGGUGGGUGCGGGGAUCAGGAGCUCCAGAAGGGCAGCCAGGCAUCCUCUGGGACUGGCCAUCUGCCCCACUGCUGCUGCAGAGCUGGCCAGAGCUGCCAUUCCCUCCAUGGGGCCUGAAGACAGUGCCAAGUGCCUGCACCGUGGGCCGGAGCCGAGCCCCGAGGAGCACCGUGGCCCCCACACUCUGUGCUGCCCUGUCCUGGGCCUGGACACCUUCAGAGCCUGGGACCACGUGGAUGGGCAGAUUCUGGGCCAGCUUCGGCCCCUGGCAGCGGAGGAAGAGGAGGAUGGCGCCGGGGCCACCUCGCCCAGGGGUCCUGCCUUCCCCGGCAUGGGCUCUGAGGAGCUGCGUCUGGCCUCCUUCUAUGACUGGCCACUGACCGCUGGGGUGCCGCCCGAGCUGCUGGCCGCUGCCGGCUUCUUCCACACAGGCCAACAGGACAAGGUGAGGUGCUUCUUCUGCUAUGGGGGCCUGCAGAGCUGGAAGUGCGGGGAUGAUCCCUGGACAGAGCAUGCCAAAUGGUUCCCCAGGUGUCAGUUCCUGCUCCAGUCUAAAGGGAGAGACUUUGUCCACAGUGUGCAGGAGGCUCACUCCCAGCUGCUGGGCUCCUGGGACCCGUGGGAAGAACCAGAAGACGCAGCCCCUGUGGCCCCCUCGGGGACCCAGAGCUGCCCAUGCCCAGAAGAGAAGUCCAGUCUGAGGGCACCCAGGAGCCAGGAGGAGCCAGUCCAACCCAGGCCCGGCGGGCAUGGUGGGUCCUGGAGCCCCCGGGGGCCAGGGACAUGGAGGAGCAGCUGAGGCAGCUGCAGGAGGAGAGGACGUGCAAGGUGUGCCUGGACCACGCCGUGUCCAUCGUCUUCGUGCCCUGCGGCCACCUGGUCUGUGCCACAUGCGCCUCCAGCCUGCAGCUGUGCCCCAUCUGCCGGGCGCCAGUCCAAGGCCGCGUCCGAACCUUCCUGUCCUAGGCCAGGUGCCAUGGUCGUCCAGGGGGGCUGCAGGGUGGGCCUUCUACCCCUUCUGCCUGUCCUGCACUGUGUUCUGGGCCUGCUGAGGAUGGCAGGGCUGGGGCCCGCCUAGCACCAACCAACCCGAUUCCCCCACCACAGCCCAGGGUGGAGAAACGAGCCCUGCUGGGCAUGGGGGCGGCUUUUCUGCCCGUUUGGAUGCUUCUGAAUAUAAAUAAAGUGGGUUUUCCCUGGA